AUUAAGCUGACGGGUCUGAAAUAAGACGAAACGCGGGUCCUGAAU
rnacentral:hammerhead_ribozyme from 1 species